rnacentral:rRNA from 1 species
CCUACGGGAGGCUGCAGUGGGGAAUAUUGGGCAAUGGGCGCAAGCCUGACCCAGCAACGCCGCGUGAAGGAAGAAUGCUUUCGGGUUUUUAACUUCUUUUAUCAGGGGCGUAACAAGUGACGGUACCUGAUGAAUAAGCCACGGCUAACUACGUGCCAGCAGCCGCGGUAAUACGUAGGUGGCAAGCGUUAUCCGGAUUUACUGGGUGUAAGGGGAGUGUAGGCGGGAGUGCAAGUCAGAUGUGAAAACUAUGGGCUCAACCCAUAGACUGCAUUUGAAACUGUACUUCUUGAGUGCUGGAGAGGUAAUCGGAAUUCCGUGUGUAGCGGUGAAAUGCGUAGAUAUACGGAGGAACACCAGUGGCGAAGGCGGAUUGCUGGACAGUAACUGACGCUGAGGCGCGAAAGUGUGGGGAGCAAACAGGAUUAGAUACCCCUGUAGUC